AAAUGAAUAGACGGGGGCCCGCACAAGCGGUGGAGCAUGUGGUUUAAUUCGAUGCAACGCGAAGAACCUUACCAGGGCUUGACAUCUGCCUGGCGGUCUUAGGAAACUUAGGCUUUCCUUCGGGACGGGCAGACAGGUGGUGCAUGGCUGUCGUCAGCUCGUGUCGUGAGAUGUUGGGUUAAGUCCCGCAACGAGCGCAACCCUUAUUCUUAGUUGCCAGCGUGUUAUGGCGGGCACUCUAAGGAGACUGCCGGUGACAAACCGGAGGAAGGUGGGGAUGACGUCAAGUCCUCAUGCCCUUUAUGUCCUGGGCUACACACGUGCUACAAUGGCCUGUACAGCGGGUUGCGAAGUCGUGAGGCGGAGCCAAUCCUCCAAAGCAGGUCUCAGUUCGGAUUGCAGGCUGCAAUUCGCCUGCAUGAAGCCGGAAUCGCUAGUAAUCGCGAAUCAGCACGUCGCGGUGAAUACGUUCCCGGGCCUUGUACACACCGCCCGU
rnacentral:rRNA from 1 species